GGAGGCGUGGCAGAGCGGUUUAAUGCGCCGGUUUUGAAAACCGGUGUGGGCGCAAGUCCACCAGGGGUUCGAAUCCCUUCGCCUCCG
rnacentral:tRNA from 1 species